UCUCCAACCGUGGACCCCGGCCGGGCGCAAGCACCCCCACACCCGCCCUCCACCCGCCGUUGGGAGCUAGGGCCUCAGUGCUCGGUGCUCCUGGCGGGUGGAGUGAGGCGCCCCGGCGACUGAUGCCGAGGAGGAGCAAGCAUCAGCUCCACGGACCUGAGGCCUGCGCGCCGCUUCCCAGUGGCUCCUGUUUCCACCUGGCCACUGGAGGCUCUCUGCGCACCCUGGGAGGAGGUCACGCUGGCAGACAGAGAUCACGAAUGUAAUUAGCGGAUGCGCCCACCUGGAGCGGAGAAAGAUCUGGUGGUACCCUGGAGGAAGAAGAACACCAAUUCUUCCCCAUGUGCAAUAACCCUGGCUCUGGCACACCCUUCAGCACUGCCUCUACCAUGCUCUGGGCAGAAAAGGGCUUCAGACUGACCAGGGUUGGAGAAUGAAUGGUUUGCAAGAAGCAGUGGAAGACCAAGGUCUCACUGAAAGUUCCUUGGAAACAAUAAAUACAGCCUUCUAGCAUC